rnacentral:snRNA from 1 species
AUAGUUACUUGGAAGGGGACGCCAUGAUUGUCAGGGUGAUUUUCCUCAGGAUGAGGCUCCUCUUUGGCACUUAGAGAUGCUAAGUCAUCUGAUUUCUUGGUUGUGGGAGACUUGACUAUAAUUCGUGGUAGUGGAAGAGAGAGUUCUGUGUUUAUGCUUCCC